rnacentral:rRNA from 1 species
GACGAACGCUGGCGGCGUGCCUAAUACAUGCAAGUAGAACGCUGAAGGAGGAGCUUGCUUCUCCGGAUGAGUUGCGAACGGGUGAGUAACGCGUAGGUAACCUGCCUGGUAGCGGGGGAUGACUAUUGGAAACGAUAGCUAAUACCGCAUAAGAGUAGAUGUCGCAUGACAUUUGCUUAAAAGGUGCAACUGCACCACUACCAGAUGGACCUGCGUUGUAUUAGCUAGUUGGUGAGGUAACGGCUCACCAAGGCAACGAUACAUAGCCGACCUGAGAGGGUGAUCGGCCACACUGGGACGGAGACACGGCCCAGACUCCUACGGGAGGCAGCAGUAGGGAAUCUUCGGCAAUGGACGGAAGUCUGACCGAGCAACGCCGCGUGAGUGAAGAAGGUUUUCGGAUCGUAAAGCUCUGUUGUAAGAGAAGAACGAGUGUGAGAGUGGAAAGUUCACACUGUGACGGUAUCUUACCAGAAAGAGACGGCUAACUACGUG